rnacentral:rRNA from 1 species
UACGUAGGUGGCUAGCGUUGUCCGGAUUUAUUGGGCGUAAAGAGCUCGUAGGCGGUUUGUCGCGUCUGCCGUGAAAGUCCGGGGCUUAACCUGGGAACUGCGAUGGAAACUAGCGAGCUGGAGUGUGGCAGAGGGGGGUGGAAUUCCGCGUGUAGCAGUGAAAUGCGUAGAGAUGCGGAGGAACACCGAUGGCGAAGGCAGCCCCCUGGGCUAACACUGACGCUCAGGCACGAAAGCGUGGGGAGCAAACAGG